rnacentral:rRNA from 1 species
UGGGGAAUAUUGCACAAUGGAGGGAACUCUGAUGCAGCGACGCCGCGUGAACGAAGAAGGCUUUCGAGUCGUAAAGUUCUUUUAUAUGGGAAGAUAAUGACGGUACCAUAAGAAAAAGCCCCGGCUAACUACGUGCCAGCAGCCGCGGUAAUACGUAGGGGGCUAGCGUUGUCCGGAAUCACUGGGCGAAAAGGGUUCGCAGGCGGAAAUGCAAGUCAGGUGUAAAAGGCAGUAGCUUAACUACUGUAAGCAUUUGAAACUGCAUAUCUUGAGAAGAGUAGAGGUAAGUGGAAUUUUUAGUGUAGCGGUGAAAUGCGUAGAUAUUAAAAAGAAUACCGGUGGCGAAGGCGACUUACUGGGCUCAUUCUGACGCUGAGGAACGAAAGCGUGGGUAGCAAACAGG